rnacentral:rRNA from 1 species
GAUGAACGCUAGCGGCAGGCUUAAUACAUGCAAGUCGAGGGGCAGCAGCUUUGUAGCAAUACAGGGGCUGGCGACCGGCAAACGGGUGCGGAACACGUACGCAACCUUCCUUUAACUGGAAGAUAGCCCACCGAAAGGUGGAUUAAUACUCCAUAACAUAUUGAAGAGGCAUCUCUUUGAUAUUAAAGCUCCGGCGGUUAAAGAUGGGCGUGCGUCUGAUUAGGUAGUUGGCGGGGUAACGCCCACCAAGCCUUCGAUCAGUAGCUGAUGUGAGAGCAUGAUCAGCCACACGGGCACUGAGACACGGGCCCGACUCCUACGGGAGGCAGCAGUAAGGAAUAUUGGUCAAUGGACGCAAGUCUGAACCAGCCAUGCCGCGUGGAGGAUGAAGGCCCUCUGGGUUGUAGACUUCUUUUGCCAGGGGAUAAAAGUUUCCAAUGCGUGGAAAACUGAAGGUACCUGGUGAAUAAGCCACGGCUAACGUACGUGCCAGCAGCCGACGG